rnacentral:rRNA from 1 species
CUUCCAGACUCCUACGGGAGGCAGCAGUGGGGAAUAUUGCGCAAUGGGGGCAACCCUGACGCAGCCAUGCCGCGUGAAUGAAGAAGGCCUUCGGGUUGUAAAGUUCUUUCGGUAGCGAGGAAGGCAUUUAGUUUAAUAGACUAGGUGAUUGACGUUAACUACAGAAGAAGCACCGGCUAACUCCGUGCCAGCAGCCGCGGUAAUACGGAGGGUGCGAGCGUUAAUCGGAAUAACUGGGCGUAAAGGGCACGCAGGCGGUGACUUAAGUGAGGUGUGAAAGCCCCGGGCUUAACCUGGGAAUUGCAUUUCAUACUGGGUCGCUAGAGUACUUUAGGGAGGGGUAGAAUUCCACGUGUAGCGGUGAAAUGCGUAGAGAUGUGGAGGAAUACCGAAGGCGAAGGCAGCCCCUUGGGAAUGUACUGACGCUCAUGUGCGAAAGCGUGGGGAGCAAACAGGAUUAGAUACCCUGGUAGUCCACGCUGUAAACGAUGUCGAUUUGGGGGUUGAACUUUGAGUUUGGCGCCCGUAGCUAACGUGAUAAAUCGACCGCCUGGGGAGUACGGCCGCAAGGUUAAAACUCAAAUGAAUUGACGGGGGCCCGCACAAG